rnacentral:rRNA from 1 species
UGCUAAUACCGGAUAACAACAGAUGAUGCCUAUCAACUGUUUAAAAGAAUGGUUCUGCUAUCACUCUUGGAUGGACCUGCGGUGCAUUAGCUAGUUGGUAGGGUAACGGCCUACCAAGGCGAUGAUGCAUAGCCGAGUUGAGAGACUGAUCGGCCACAGUUGGGACUGAGACACCGGACCCAAACUCCGUACGGGGAGGCAGCAGGU